rfam:Hordeum vulgare subsp. vulgare, WGS project CAJW01000000 data, contig: morex_contig_7398
CUUGUACUCCCUUCGUUUUAGAAUUUUUGUCUUAGAUUUGUAUAGAUAUAAAUGUAUUUAAUCAUAUUUUACUAUUUAGGUACAUUCAUUUCUAGACAAAUCUAAGACAAAAGAUUUGACACGGAGGGAGUAUCUG